rnacentral:rRNA from 1 species
UACGUAGGUGGCAAGCGUUGUCCGGAUUUACUGGGCGUAAAGAGCGCGCAGGCGGUCGGAUAAGUCGAAUGUGAAAGCCCCCGGCUCAACUGGGGAGGGUCAUUCGAUACUGUUCGACUCGAAGGCAGGAGAGGGAAGUGGAAUUCCCGGUGUAGUGGUGAAAUGCGCAGAUAUCAGGAGGAACACCAAUGGCGAAGGCAGCUCGCUGGGACGGUACUGACGCUGAGGCGCGAAAGCGUGGGGAGCAAACAGG